rnacentral:rRNA from 1 species
UUGUAAUUGGAAUGAUGGCGACUUAAACCCUCGCCAGAAUAACAAUUGGAGGGCAAGUCUGGUGCCAGCAGCCGCGGUAAUUCCAGCUCCAAUAGCGUAUAUUAAACUUGUUGCAGUUAAAAAGCUCGUAGUUGAACUUUUGCGUUGUCCUUUUCCUGCUUUGUGCGGGUUAUUGACUUCGCUUUUUCUUUUUACUUUGAGAAAAUUAGAGUGUUUAUCGCAGACUUUUGUCUUGAAUACUUCAGCAUGGAAUAAUAGAGUAGGACUUUGGUUCUAUUUUGUUGGUUUUGGAA